ACUUCCAACCAACCAGGGCCAGGCCAGACGGCUGUUCCCCCUUGGGGCGCCUCCUCCGCUCGCUCCGGCACAGCCCCCCUCCUUCGACCUUCUCUCCGGCUCAGCCGCGCGCGGCCCCAAAUUUCAGAGCGCGGCCGCUGGGAGCUACACAGCGGAGCAAGACGCUCCCCCCUUUCUCGGCCGAUUGCCGUUGGUUGGGACCCGGUUCAGGGCGGCUGCCUCCUCCACCGGAGCACCGCCGUCUCCUCCGGCGUCAUCCACCCGCGGAGAUCGCCGCCGCCAUCGACCGCGUUUCCGCGGACGCCGCCUGCAGGGUUCGGCAAGGCUGAAAACUUCGAUAUAUCGUCCCUUGAAAGAAAAGGUCUUCGUCCUCGGUGAAUCCUAAAGAAGAGAUAAAGAGUGGUGAUGCAUUCAAGAACGUGCUACAAAAAAGCCGCGAUGAAGGUUAAGAAGAAAAACAAACACCCGGCUGGUGGCCGCGAGGAGGGAAGGCAGAUCAGCAUAUUGCGCACAAGUAGGCAAAGCAGAAUUGAGACAUUGCGCAAAAAGCCCAGCCCAGGGCUGCGCUGCGCAAGCAGGCACUUGCUACUGAAACCUACAAGGAAGAGCGACAGACAUUAGAUUCUUAUCACCAGCUACACAAGAAAGAAGCCAGGUUUGGGAAUAAUAGAACUUAAGACACGUCCUGAACUGCAAAGGCCAAGGAAUCGGAACAAUCAGGACAGGUUGCAAUUUAUGACGGCAAGUGGAGUAUAAUCUACUAAAAUGACACAAUUUGGAGAGGAAGAUUUGUGAAGACGAUCAGAAGAAGCAGGGAGAACAAUACACUAAGACGACAAGUUGGCUAUGCCAGGCAAUUACAACUGAAAUCUGCUAAAAGAACGCCGAACAAGUAAUCCAGGACAUUCGGCAUCCAUAUAAGAACACAGGUUCGAUCGAAGAUCAAGGGAAGUGAGCUCCAUCACCACGUUCACGCUCAAGAUUGAUGGUUACACUGAAGAGCAAAUGGACUAAUGAUAUUGCAUACAGAAUUAGCUCAGCACAGCCACAGGAUCACGCUCGCUGGUGAAUAGGUAUGGGCUCAGCGGGUUUGUUCUCGACAUUUCUUCUCUCUUGAAACUUGGCACAACAAAGCAGGAUAGAAUAGAUGGGUUUAUAAUGAAGAUUGAAGAGGCAAUGAAGACAGUGUGAUGUUCGAUGUGUUCUAGCAGUUUUCUGGGGUUACACACCAUACCUCUAAUGCUAGCGAACUGUUGUUUCGCUCCAUUGCCACUGAUAUAUUCUGAACUGAAACAUGGAUAAUUUCAGAUGUAUGAUUACAAAUGGAUUCUCUGGUUAAAAUAAUUCAUAAACAAAAGGCGCCUCUAA